UGAUUAUAACUGAACGCCAGAUGCAAUCUUCCACCAACAAAAACAAUAGUACUGACUAAAAUUAUAAAAUACAGAAAAGCCAACAAAGAGACCAGAAAACUUACCUUCUAUAUUACUGCAGAGAAGCAAGGUGUGAUCUUUUCACAUCAGCAGAAGUUGUUCAGACCCAAUUCCAAAAUCACCAGCUAGAGUUGCAGAAGCUAUUGGGUUUUCAACUCAUUAAGAGAAAGAAAGCAACAACAGUUAAAAGAAUGUAGAUUAAAAACUACAUAGAUAACUAUGUGUUUCGUUGUUAAAAAAAAAACAAAAACCAUGUGAUCCACAUUACCAACGCAAACAGUUUGCCAAAAUGACCUUGCUCA
rnacentral:lncRNA from 1 species